AGUGAACGCUGGCGGUAGGCCUAACACAUGCAAGUCGAACGGCAGCACAGUAAGAGCUUGCUCUUACGGGUGGCGAGUGGCGGACGGGUGAGGAAUACAUCGGAAUCUACUUUUUCGUGGGGGAUAACGUAGGGAAACUUACGCUAAUACCGCAUACGACCUACGGGUGAAAGCAGGGGAUCUUCGGACCUUGCGCGAUUGAAUGAGCCGAUGUCGGAUUAGCUAGUUGGCGGGGUGAAGGCCCACCAAGGCGACGAUCCGUAGCUGGUCUGAGAGGAUGGUCACCCACAGUGGAGCUUGACCGCGCACCUGGGGACUACGGGACGGCCCAGUGGCGAAUAUUGGACAAUGGGCGCAAGCAUGGUACAGCCGUCGCAAGUCGGAGAAAACAGCCUUCCGGUUGUAAAGCCCUUUUGCUGGUAAAAAAACGCAGCCGCUUGUUACCCAGCUGGUCUGACGGUACCGAAAAAAUAAGCACCGGCUAACUACGUG
rnacentral:rRNA from 1 species